GUGCUUCAGCAGCACAUAUACUAAAAUUAGAACGAUACAGAGAAGAUUAGCAUGGCCCCUGCUCAAGGAUGACAUGCAAAUUCAUGAAGAGUUCCAUAUUUAA
rnacentral:snRNA from 1 species